AACGAACGCUGGCGGCAUGCCUAACACAUGCAAGUCGAACGAGACCUUCGGGUCUAGUGGCGCACGGGUGCGUAACGCGUGGGAAUCUGCCCUGGGGUGCGGAAUAACUCGGAGAAAUCCGUGCUAAUACCGCAUAAUGUCUUCGGACCAAAGAUUUAUCGCCCUGGGAUGAGCCCGCGUAGGAUUAGCUAGUUGGUGGGUAAAGGCCUACCAAGGCGACGAUCCUUAGCUGGUCUGAGAGGAUGAUCAGCCACACUGGGACUGAGACACGGCCCAGACUCCUACGGGAGGCAGCAGUGGGGAA
rnacentral:rRNA from 1 species